CCCGGCGGCGCCAUUUCCUGCCAACCCGGAAGCAGAUCUCCGGGACUAGCGGCCCGGCUCACCGAGUGAGUUUCAAUAGUUCGCGUCCAAACUCGCGCGCUGACGCGCUCGGCGCCGGGUGCUGCACACUCCCGGGCCCCCGCGGCUGUUGCCGUCCCAGCCGCGGGGAGCCCCGCCUAGCCUGGAGGCGCUCUGCCGCGGGGGCCGGACCCACACCUGUUUCUGAGUCUGUCAGCUUUGGAAGAUGCUAGUUGAACAUUCUGCUCCAUGGAGACAUGUACCUGACAUCUUACAGCCUUUGCCUGCUUAAUGCUUGGACUGUCUGUGAGGAAAACCCAGAGAAAGACUGCUGGCAACUCAGUUAUUGACAAUGCAGCCAUUGGUGAGUAGGGAAUGCCUUUUUCUGCUGAAACUGCAUACUCUGCUCCUGAGAGGAUAUGGGCAGGUUUCUCUUAUUGGAUGGAUGUUCUUCUAGGUGCAAUCAAAAAGUAUUCAUGGGUCUGAGCACCAGUGAAAUGUAAUAGCUAGUCUCCUUCCUAACAUCAAACUGAUUUAUUUCAGCCUCCAUGCAGCUUGUGUAUUUAUAGAAGAG
rnacentral:lncRNA from 1 species